rnacentral:tRNA from 1 species
GGAUGUAUGUCAGAGGUAGAAUUCUUGCCUAGUAUGCAUGAGACCCUGGGUUCAAUCCCUAGUACCACCA